rnacentral:rRNA from 1 species
AGUCACAGCCAUAUCACCCUGCAGCUCACACCUGGCCACCCACUGAAGCUAAGCAGGAGUGAGCCUAGUCAGUACUUGGAUGGGAGACCUCCUGGGGAAAAACUAAGGUAGCUGCUGGAA